CUGAGUUUGAGACCAAUGCAUUAGAGUGUGUGCUUUUGUUCAAGCAAACAAGAUGAAAAACACAGCAGUAUUACUAGGGAUGAAUUAUGGACCAGGCAACAAAAAUAUACAUUAUAUUUUAAUCAGAAUAAACUCAUUUACACUUCAUCAGGAAAUCUAGAAACCAAAUCACAGGAAACAGAACAGCCGCAGUAAAGAUGAAACCUGAACCAAGAACAACUGAAAACGAGGACUACAAAUACAAACGAGAUAAAAGACACAGUUGGACUAUAACCCAAAGGUCGCAGGUUCGAGUCUCAGGUCCGGCAGGGAUUGUAUGUGUGAAUAACCAGCGCUCUCUUCCACCUUCAAUACCACGACUGAGGUCUACCUCUUCCUCUCCUCGGGGGACAACAAGAGAUCAACUUAUACAGAACAGUGUCUUCUUUUAUUUGUUGAACUGUUUGCAUCAUUUCUAGUGUUAAUGAAGGAUUGAGUUUGUGUUUAUCGUCCUGAUGAACUGCAGCUCACAUGAUUCAUGUUCAAAUAUAAGAAUAACAUUAAAAUAAAAAAACACUGAGAAAUUCAAAAACAGAUAAAUGUAUUAUCAGAUUCCCAGGCUGAACAAAGGAAACACAAUCAGAUGAAUGGUGUUUAGAGGGUGCAAACACACCACAGUGCAGACGAUAAACCACAGAAACCACCAUUGCAUGAGAAGUGCUUUCUAAAAACAAACAUUCACAUUCACAGCUGACGUGUUAAAGUUCGUCACAAAUGACACAUUUUUUGAAACCUUCACUCAUUUCUUCCAGCUCUUACAGUCCUCAUCCUCCUCGGAUUGUUUCAGUCCAUUGUUCGCAUCACAUCCAGUGAUCUGUUCGCUCUGAAAUGCUUGUAUUUUGAAGAGUUGCUUUAAUCACAUGAUU